GGAUGUGAGGGCGAUCUGGCUGCGACAUCUGUCAUCCCAUUAAUUGCCAGGGUUGAUUCGGCUGAUCUGGCUGGCUAGGCGGGUGUCCCCUUCCUCCCUCACUGAUCCAUGUGUGUCCUUCCUGAAGCUGCGAACUCGGUCGAAGAGGAAGGCCUUCCCUGAAUAGAGACGGACCAGUCUUUGGUAGAGGGUUCCCUGGCAGAGGGGUCUAGCGCUCCCCUGCUAGAACCUCCAAAUAAGCUCUCAAAGUAAAAGAUUCUGGGGUAGUGGGGGUGGGGUAGUGUUCAUGUCCUAGAACAU
rnacentral:snRNA from 1 species